UUGGGGUUAUCCUAUAAUUCUAUAAGGUUGAUCAAAUCAAACCCAUAAUGAGUCAAAUUAAAUCCAAUCAAAUUAGACUUAAUACAAAUCCCAUUGCUCAAUCAAAUUGAGUUAAUUAGCAAUCCUAUUGCUAAUUAAUCCUCAUAUAACUCACUAACUCUUUAGUAAGUUAAAUAAUGCAACAUUUGCAUUGGAUCAAUUAUCAAUUAAAUUGAUAAUCAAAUUCUGUUACGAUUUAU
rnacentral:lncRNA from 1 species